GAGUUUGAUCAUGGCUCAGAACGAACGCUGGCGGCGUGGAUAAGACAUGCAAGUCGAGCGGGACUUUUUCUGGUAGCAAUACCGGAAAAAGUUCAGCGGCGAACGGGUGCGUAACACGUGGACAAUCUGCCUUAAAGUGGGGGAUAGCUCGGCGAAAGCCGAAUUAAUACCGCAUGUGAUCAGUCAGGACAUCCUGGCGAAAUCAAAGACGGCGCAAGCUGUCGCUUUUUGAGGAGUCCGCGGCCUAUCAGCUAGUUGGUGAGGUAACGGCUCACCAAGGCUUUGACGGGUAGCUGGUCUGAGAGGACGACCAGCCACACUGGAACUGAGACACGGUCCAGACACCUACGGGUGGCAGCAGUCGAGAAUUUUUCUCAAUGGGGGAAACCCUGAAGGAGCGACGCCGCGUGGAGGAUGAAGGUCUUCGGGUUGUAAACUCCUGUCAUUUGGGAACAAGGCGGACGUGUUAACUGCACGUCCGUUGAUAGUACCAGAAGAGG
rnacentral:rRNA from 1 species